UCCCUGGUGGCUCAGUUGGUAAAGAAUCCGCCUGCAAUGCGGGAGACCCGGGUUCAACCCCUGGGUUGGGAA
rnacentral:tRNA from 1 species